GUAACACUUUCGAGUGCAAAUCUUGAAUAUAUAAAGGUAUAAUCCCUUAUGAGAUGAGCUUGCGUAGGAUUAGGUAGUUGGUAGGGUAAAGGCCUACCAAGCCCCAGAUCCUUAGCUGGUUUGAGAGGAUGAUCAGCCACACUGGGACUGAGACACGGCCCAGACGCUUUCGAGCGGCAGCAGUGAGGAAUUUUGGACAAUGGGCGAAAGCCUGAUCCAGCUAUAUCGCGUGAGUGAUGACGACUGUAUUGGUUGUAAAACUCUUUAUUUGAACCUGUAUUUUACAGUAUUCUAUGAUUCAUAGAGUAGGAGAUUAUGACAAAGUUCAAACAAAAAGUCCCGGCUAAUCUCGUGCCAGCAGCCGCGGUAAUACGAGAGGGGCAAGCGUUAUUCGGAAUGAUUGGGCGUAAAGAGCACGUAGACGGUAUUGUAUCAUCCACUUGAAAACUCAAAGCUUAACUUUGAGAAAGAGUUCUUUGUUGAUACAAUACUUGAGUGAGUGCGAGGAGAAUGGAAUUUCUAGAGGAGAGGUAAAUUUGUUGAUUUUAGGAGGAACACCAAAAGCGAAGGCAGUUCUCUAAUACUCUACUGACGUUGAGGUGCGAAAGCGUGGGGAUC
rnacentral:rRNA from 1 species